AUGACUUGUUUGAUUUUGGGUUACAGAAGGAAAUUGAUGUGAGAGACUCAGAGGGAAAUAAUAAGGAGAAAUUCUUUAAACCAUAGACACAGCUCAGAAAGAAGUUCAAGGGCUGUAUAAGCCUUGGGAGCAAAGUCUGUUCCUCAACCAUCACUGGAGGCACUAUGGACUGUACCUUGUCAGUGACACAUGGAGCUGACUCUGCUGCUGAAGGAUGUGGAGUUGCCUGCAGAGGCCAAAGGGGUCACCAUUGCUUUGGGAAGCAGGGCUGGAGCAAGCAGCAGACAACAGCAAUCUGAUGUGCUUGAAAGGGGCCCAACUUUGUUCAGAUACAGACACCACAGUGAAGGGAUCAAGUUUUGCAGGCUAAAGAAGACUUAUUCACUGUUGAAAAGGCUCCACAGGAACACUAAUCAAAGACAGACUUUCAGCACAAGUUAGUCCAAAGGAUAGCAGCAGAAACUUCCUAUGCUUCCUGUGCCUCCAAAUACCUUUUUACUUGCUAGUGCAUUUUGCUCCUGCUCCUUUUUCGUAAAAGAUCAUUAUUAACUGACUCUGUCACACACACACUUCAGUCUAAACUAUUUUUGGCAGCAAACAGGUCAGUAAGAUUAAAACUGCAACAGGUGAAAGGCACCUGUAUGUCUCCACACUAGCACGUAGUCAUCUGUGAUUACUGGUGGUGAUUCUUGACUCCAUGGAGCUCUUGAGAGCCACAUUCUUCUGGCUCUUUGUGCUUGAAGGCAUCAGGAAGCAGCAGUAUUCCCAAAGCAUCUUGCAAUUAUCCUCAGUUGUUGGUAUGAUACCAGCUCUGCUGGGAUUUCGAGAAGGAUCAUCCUGCCUUGCAAUACAGGACCCUGGUCCUUCACAGAAUCCUCUCACCAGCUUGCAGUGCAACUACUGACAUGGAACACAAAACCAUCAAGUCUCUCCUGCACUGCCUUGCUGAUGGGGAAACAAGUCCUUGCUCUCUACAACUCCUGCCCCUGCCACCCUUGCCUUUUGCACAGCCACAUGUGCCCGGAUGGUUUUUGCUUCACAGCUCCUUCUGCUCCUUUAAAAUAAAUUACAUGGGGAAUGUUAGUGAUGCAAACUUGUUUAAACCUGAGUACAGGGUUAAGUCAGCUUUGUAAUUAAUUGCCUCAUCACUGCAGUCACCCUUCAGGAAUGCUGUGCUGCUGGUUCAGAACCGAGUAAGAAAGGGCCAGAUCCCCAGCAGAGAUCGCCCAAAGAGAAUAAAAUGAUGAAGCUGCGCAGGAGGUCAGGUCUGACUCCCUGAGAUGAUGAAGAGGAAGUGGCAUCAUCAUGGGCCCACCAACACCCCAGUACGCAGAGGUGGGCAUGAAGGUGCCGUGAGAGCCACCAGUGCACGCUGGCUUUGUCCCAGAGAAAGGAUUUGUUUCCCCAAGGCAUGGCCUUUGCAGUCAGCCCCCCAGGUGCUGUGUCAUGGCAGGACUGCUUUCCACCAGGUCGGCUGCCUCAGAGCCUGCUGGGGCAUGGAAACAGCAUGGGACUGAAAAACAAGUCAUUGGAGGCCCAUCUAGAGACAGGUAUGGAUGUUGUGGAGGCACAGAGGCAGCACCUCCUCCCUCAGGUACCUGCGGUAGGAACUAACAAAGGCAAAUGCGCUGGAGCCACAAAGCUCCAAUUACUGUUGUCUUCUUUCUACUCACAUCUAAACGUGCCAAGGGUGAGUAUGUUCAGAAGGUGGUUUUACUGACACAAUUUCUCCUUGACACUGGACACUCACAUACAUAUAAGUGAGGAGAAAGAAGAAAAAAGGAGAACAAACUUCUCAAAGAGUCACAUGUAAGUGAAGAGAGGGAGAAGAAAGAAGAAAACCAGUAAGUGAGAAAACAUAGGGUGGAGGGAGCUGUGCCUACAAGGGGAGAGCAGAGUGAUGAUGACAAGAAGUACCAGACUAAGAAGCAACCUGGACAACUUCUGGAUCAGUUCAUGGCCAUCUCUUCAGUCCUUGUACCUCUUAGAAGGCUUCUGUCCACUAUGGAGGAAAAAAGGGCUGAUAGAUAGAUAGAUAGACAGACAGACAGACAGACAGACAGAUAGAGAGAUAGAUAGAUAGAUAGAUAGAUAGAUAGAUAGAUAGAUAGAUAGAUAGAUAGAUAGAUAGAUAUUUCAGAUAAGAGCUAUUCUUAAUAUUUGUGGCAAAUUUUUAAUUGCUUCAUGCAUUCUAAUUAAAUAACUACAUAGAGGAAAAGACCAGACUCUGAAUUAAGGGCUAGAUGAAUGAUGUGGGUAGCAGAAACUUUAGCACAAGUCCUGCUCAGAGAGUAGCCCAGGACAUCCCUGUAUCUGCCAGUGACGAGUGCAGCCCCUAGAUUUAACACCUCUUGUGAAGAGAAGAAAAUUUUGCAUGGAUUUCUGGGCAGACUUUGCACUGCUGAGGGGAAAGGGUGUGCUUUUGCCAGUUCUCCUACAAAGCUGUUAGCUAGUGCAGAGUCACAGGUUCCCAGACCCUCUCCCACACCAUCAAGCAGCUCUUCUGCAGGGUUCUGGGGGAAUUCUAACACCAGGAAAUAGAAAGGGCAAUCAAUGCCUAUAAUAAGAUGCACUCCAGCAAACUGUUCAUAAUUUUUCUCACUGGGCUGCAGAUGACCUAAAAGGCUCUUUUCCACUUCCAAUUUCUAUGAAUCUGCAAUCCUAUUAUUUACAUUGUAUCUUGAGGGGUUUUUUUCAGAGUAAAUGAUGUAAUUAUACCCUACACCAUAACAUUUCAGGUUCUGGUGUAAUAGAACUAAAUAUGUAAUUAUGUGGUUAGUAAAUGUAACAGUACAAAACUCAAAAUCUUUAUCCAUGUACUGUAGCUUCAUAAGAAGAAUUUGUUUCCUGUUCUGUACACAGCAGAUGUAAUGUAAUUAUUGCUAACUGAAAAGUAUCAGCAGACAUUCAUAUGAUACCAGCAAAAAAUGCCCCUCCAGCCAAUUCUUCAUUCAAACAUAUGAAAAUGAGAGAAAUCCCACAAUUCUAUCUUAUCAGUGAAGUCUAGGCACAUACAUUUGAUACUCUGCAAAAUCAAUACUUUCCAGGCUUCUAGAUACAUAGAACACACAAAGAAUAUCCAUCCAUAUAUGAAGGGAAGGAUCAGAUUCACCCCUGAUGUUAGUCCAGGCACUUCAACUGGAUUACAAGACAGCAGAAGACAGCCCAUAUUGCAACUUGUGUGGAUUAUGGCUGGAAGAAAUAAAACUGGCCUCCAACAUUUAUACAACACUGUGUGACAUAAGGAAAACAACAUGAAAGGAACCACAGCCUUGUGGUUAAGGAGCUAAUCCUGGACUUGGGAGAUACGGUUUCUACUCAGAGGUUUGCCACAAGUUUCACAUAUUAAAAGAAAAAAGGAAAAAAAAAACAGAAAAAGGAAAAAGAAGAAAAAGAAAAAAGGAAAAAGGAGAAGGAGAAGGAGAAGGAGAAGGAGAAGGAAGGAGAAGGAGAAGGAGAAGGAGAAGGAGAAGGAGAAGGAGAAGGAGAGGAGAAGGAGAAGGAGAAGGAGAAGGAGAAGGAGAAGGAGAAGGAGAAGGAGAAGGAGAAGGAGAAGGAGAAGGAGACUUUUAUUGUGGGCCUUGCCUGCAAGAGGACACCUUACCAGUAAAAAGUGUGAUUUUACACAGGCUACAAAUGUCCUUUAAUUUCCACUUAAAUACAAAUGUGAAAUGGGCCUAACUGUACCAGGGGAAAGUCUUUUUACUAAAUAAUAAUAAUACUAGUUUUCAAAAAAUAUUGGAAGAAUUGGGACAGCUCUAGCUUUAGAAAUGUUGGGAUUCCCAUUUGCCUGAGUGAGACAGCUUCGUGCUGGUUGAAUGGGAACCCUCUGGAUAGGGCCUUCAGCUGCAAAAUCAGGCAGUGAAGUGGGAGUCACCACUGAGCCACGCGUCCCCUUGCAGCUGCUCCAUUGGUGGAGGCAUGACAUCUCUCCAGGUUUGUCUUUGUCAGGCACAAAAUGACAGAACCUAAAGAAGCACAAAUGUUUUCACAUAGAAACUGCACUUCAAUUAUCCAAGCAUAAAAAACCCUAUGAUACUUGAAAAGAGUGUUUUAUUUCUCGGCACACAUCCAUCAGGUUUCCAGCAUUGCAUGUUGCCUCGCUCCUUAGAUGCAAUCUGCACCGUUCACCAAGGUGCUUUUCAUGAUGAUUUUUCAUUCAGUAUGAAUGAUACUUUUAAUUCACCAAGCCACCACACUGCUCAAGCUUGAAUACCAUGACAGAGCUCUGAACUCUGCUGUGUUCUUCUUCUAUCUCCACUUCCCUGCAAAUUUCCCAUUUGCCACAGGAGAAUAAAUAUCACACCAUCCCCACUGCUGGGUGACAGUUCCGUGCCUGAGUGCCUUACAAAACUCUACAGUUCUUCCUUGCCUUCUCUACAAUCAGUCUUGGAUUUUGCAUCAUACGACUGAACCACCAAGAUAGAAAUUAACAUGGGUCUCUGUAAUGAUGUUUAGCUGCUUUCCUUUGAGCUGGAAUACUUGAUCAUAUUCUCCCACCCCAUAUUUGUGUCAUGCUAUUGGCACUGGAAGCAUUAGCUUUGUAGUCACAAUUAUAUGAGAACUAAGUAAACUACAGAAAUUUGUAAACUGUUGCAUUGCUAAAUUAAAUGCUGUUUUAACUAACA